rnacentral:rRNA from 1 species
UACGUAGGGGGCAAGCGUUGUCCGGAUUUAUUGGGCGUAAAGAGCGUGUAGGCGGCUAGGUAGGUCCGUUGUGAAAACUCGAGGCUCAACCUCGAGACGUCGAUGGAAACCAUCUAGCUAGAGUCCGGAAGAGGAGAGUGGAAUUCCUGGUGUAGCGGUGAAAUGCGCAGAUAUCAGGAAGAACACCCGUGGCGAAGGCGGCAUCCUGGACCAACACUGACGCUGAUGAGCGAAAGCCAGGGGAGCAAACGGG